rnacentral:rRNA from 1 species
AUGACAGGACGAAACCAAGAAAUAACCCUUUAUGUGCAAAAUUAUAGAAGAUCCCCUUUAGAUCAAACAAUUCCAUCGAGUAUGACUGUAUGUGUGAUAGCAUCUACUAUACCAAAGCUGAUGAAUGAUGCUAUAAACGGUACGAAUGAUGUUAUAAACGGUACUGCUAGAAUGAAUGUAUAG